rnacentral:rRNA from 1 species
CCUACGGGGGGCAGCAGUGGGGAAUAUUGGACAAUGGGGGGAACCCUGAUCCAGCCAUGCCGCGUGUGUGAAGAAGGCCCUCGGGUUGUAAAGCACUUUCAGUGAGGAAGAACGCCUGGUGGUUAAUACCCAUCAGGAAAGACAUCACUCACAGAAGAAGCACCGGCUAACUCCGUGCCAGCAGCCGCGGUAAUACGGAGGGUGCGAGCGUUAAUCGGAAUUACUGGGCGUAAAGCGCGCGUAGGUGGCUUGAUAAGCCGGUUGUGAAAGCCCCGGGCUCAACCUGGGAACGGCAUCCGGAACUGUCAAGCUAGAGUGCAGGAGAGGAAGGUAGAAUUCCCGGUGUAGCGGUGAAAUGCGUAGAGAUCGGGAGGAUUACCAGUGGCGAAGGCGGCCUUCUGGACUGACACUGACACUGAGGUGCGAAAGCGUGGGUAGCAAACAGGAUUAGAUACCCGAGUAGUC